CACGAUUAGAAAGAACAGUGCAGAUGAGCUUAACUUUUGGCAUUGUCACCAUACCAAAAUUUGUUGGUGACAAUUCGAUACUCACGAUUCGUUAGUUAAAUAGACACCAACAAAUUUCGGUAUGGUGACGGUGCCAAAAGUUAACGUCUGGUAAUCGUAGGUAUCGAAUAGUUUUGAGUUUUGUAAGCCUUUCAAUUUUUUUAUUCAUUCAGAUUUCUCAUAAAACUGACCUCUCUUUGGACAAAUGCAAUAAGAAAAUGGUAUUUGUUUUAUCGAGCCAAACCAGAGAGAGAAACAAAUAUCACUCUCCCUUCUUCAAAAUCAUUUCGAUUCAUCACUCUCUCUCUCUCUCUCUCAGUAUUGUAUUCGAUCCGAAAGUAAAACCUUCACAAUCUUCCUAAGCUAAGACCUACCUCAAUCCAUUUCUGCAAAUCUGAUGGUACAUCAGUCACCGACGCAUCUGAGUUAUAUGGAACCGUCUCCUCCAAUCCAUCUUCAGAAACUGACAACUUUGAGAAGAUCUCACAUGGAGCAGAAGAGAAGCCAAUAUUGAAUUAGAGGUUGGCCUUCAAUGUUUCAUUUUGAUUGUCAUUUCAUAUUUGGAAAUUUUUAAGAACAGUACAUGAACUUAAGGCCACUCCGAAUUAAGGUGGCCAACUUUUAUAUAACCACUACAGGAAAAUUGAUUAUUCAUGACGCAAGAUUUACAGCGUGCAUCAAAUGCAUGCCGUGAAUGAGUAUCAUUUACGAAGUGUAUUAGAUGCACACCGUAAAUCUUGCAAAUUUUUGAAGAAAAUUACGGAUGCUUGUAAAGAACGCCGUAAAAUCACACUUUUAUUGAAAUUUACGGCGUUUUCCCGUUGCACGCUGUGAUUUCAGCCCACAAAAAAAUUGUUCCAUUUAUACAAUUGGCCCGUUACAAAACUCAAACUUCUCCCUCGUCUCUCUCUCACUCUCCUCACAACGUACAUUGCUCCGGCCUCGUCUCUCAAAACGCAGUGACCUCCUCCUACCUCCUAUUGCUCCGACCUCCUUUGCUCUCCCAUUGCUCCGGCCUCCUCCGCUCUCCCAUUGCUCCGACCACAGUAGGUACUUUUUGUUUCCUCCCACGAGUACCAAAGAGUAUGAUGAUUGCGUGAUGGUGCUACUGUAUACGCUGUAAAGUGUGACCCACAGGCUGUCCUCAAGCAGUUUGGGGCUGGAGGAUAUGUAUGUUCAGAUAAUUAGUUAGUGAUGAGGCAGAACUAGUGCGGCAUCAGGAACUUGAGAAGCUUUACAUAUAAACACAUGCUGGAAAGGUGAGCAAUUGAGCUGAAGGCAAAUCAAGAACAUUACCGAUAAGAUGUUUGAUCAUUUCAAAAACAAGAUAGGAAGAGCAUAUAUGAGAUUCGAGGAUGGGCAAGUUUUAGACCUCUUUUUCAUUCUGGCCUCUCAUUUCAUUUUGAAGGCCUCUUUUGUUAUGGCUUGAAGAAUAGUUUCUCAACAUUGGAUUAAAUUGAGUUGUUGAAUAUAAUGGAUAAUUUUAUAAAAUGCACAUAGUUUGUCUACUUUA